CCUACGGGGGGCAGCAGUGAGGAAUAUUGGUCAAUGGUCGGGAGACUGAACCAGCCAAGCCGCGUGAGGGAUGAAGGUACAGAGGAUUGUAAACCUCUUUUGUCAGGGAACAAAGGCGGGGACGUGUCCCCGGUUGAGUGUACCUGAAGAAAAAGCAUCGGCUAACUCCGUGCCAGCAGCCGCGGUAAUACGGGGGAUGCGAGCGUUAUCCGGAUUUAUUGGGUUAAAAGGGUGCGAAGGCGGUCUGGUAAGUCAGCGGUCAAAGCCCGGGGCUCAACCCCGGCCCGCCGUUGAAACUGGGAGUCUCGAGUUGGAGAGAAGUAUGCGGAAUGCGCGGUGUAGCGGUGAAAUGCAUAGAUAUCGCGCAGAACUCCGAUUGCGAAGGCAGCAUGCCGGCUCCACACUGACGCUGAGGCACGAAAGCGUGGGUAUCGAACAGGAUUAGAUACCCUUGUAGUC
rnacentral:rRNA from 1 species